UACGUAGGGUGCGAGCGUUGUCCGGAAUUAUUGGGCGUAAAGAGCUUGUAGGCGGUUUGUCGCGUCUGCUGUGAAAAUCCGGGGCUCAACCCCGGACUUGCAGUGGGUACGGGCAGACUAGAGUGUGGUAGGGGAGACUGGAAUUCCUGGUGUAGCGGUGAAAUGCGCAGAUAUCAGGAGGAACACCGGUGGUGUAGACGGCUCUCUGGACCGUAACUGACGCUGAGACGCGAAAGCGUGGGGAGCGAACAGG
rnacentral:rRNA from 1 species